rnacentral:misc_RNA from 1 species
AACGCAUAUUGCGCUCUCUGGUAUUCCGGAGAGCAUGCUUGUUUGAGUAUCAGUAAACACCCUCGGAGCUCUUUUUUUUUUCCUCUUGAUUUUCGGAUCUUGGGGGACGCUCUGGAUUUGAGUGAUCCCAACGUGGUCUCAAAAGGGACAACGGCGGGCCACUUGAAAUACAGGUGCAGCUGAACUUUCUUCUGAGCUAAAAGCAUAUUUAUUUAGUCCUGUCAGCACGAAUGUGUUGCCGGAUUAUUACUUCUGCUGCAGCUUACAUAAAGGUUGACUGUUCAAAUGCUGACUGAUACAGAAUUUUUAGCACGGAAAAGCGCAAGCGGAUCCUGUGCUGUUAAACUCGAUCUCAAAUCAAGUAAGACUACCCGCUGAACUUAA